UGCUUGCACAUUUAGGACGUCGACCGGCGCACGGGUGAGUAUCGCGUAUCCAACCUUCCCUCCACUCGGGGAUACCCCGUUGAAAGACGGCCUAAUACCCGAUGUUGUCCACAUAUGGCAUCUGACGUGGACCAAAGAUUCAUCGGUGGAGGAUGGGGAUGCGUCUGAUUAGCUUGUUGGUGCGGGUAACGGCCCACCAAGGCGACGAUCAGUAGGGGUUCUGAGAGGAAGGUCCCCCACAUUGGAACUGAGACAUGGUCCAAACUCCUACGGGAGGCAGCAGUGAGGAAUAUUGGUCAAUGGACGUAAGUCUGAACCAGCCAAGUAGCGUGCAGGAUUGACGGCCCUAUGGGUUGUAAACUGCUUUUGUUGGGGAGUAAAGUGAGGCACGUGUGCCUUUUUGCAUUUACCCUUCGAAUAAGGACCGGCUAAUUCCGUGCCAGCAGCCGCGGUAAUACGGAAGGUCCAGGCGUUAUCCGGGUUUAUUGGGUUUAAAGGGAGUGUAGGCGGUCUGUUAAGCGUGUUGUGAAAUUUAGGUGCUCAACAUCUACCUUGCAGCGCGAACUGGCGGACUUGAGUGCACGCAACGUAUGCGGAAUUCAUGGUGUAGCGGUGAAAUGCUUAGAUAUCAUGACGAACUCCGAUUGCGAAGGCAGCGUACGGGAGUGUUACUGAC
rnacentral:rRNA from 1 species